rfam:TPA: Bos taurus chromosome 6, whole genome shotgun sequence.
UCCCUUGUGGCUCAGCUGGUAAAGAAUCCGCCUGCAAGGCGGAAGAUCUGGGUUUGAUCCCUAGGUUGGGAA